AGCUACAGGCUUAACACAUGCAAGUCGAGGGGCAGCAUGGUCUUAGCUUGCUAAGGCCGAUGGCGACCGGCGCACGGGUGAGUAACACGUAUCCAACCUGCCGUCUACUCUUGGACAGCCUUCUGAAAGGAAGAUUAAUACAAGAUGGCAUCAUGAGUCCGCAUGUUCACAUGAUUAAAGGUAUUCCGGUAGACGAUGGGGAUGCGUUCCAUUAGAUAGUAGGCGGGGUAACGGCCCACCUAGUCUUCGAUGGAUAGGGGUUCUGAGAGGAAGGUCCCCCACAUUGGAACUGAGACACGGUCCAAACUCCUACGGGAGGCAGCAGUGAGGAAUAUUGGUCAAUGGGCGAGAGCCUGAACCAGCCAAGUAGCGUGAAGGAUGACUGCCCUAUGGGUUGUAAACUUCUUUUAUAAAGGAAUAAAGUCGGGUAUGGAUACCCGUUUGCAUGUACUUUAUGAAUAAGGAUCGGCUAACUCCGUGCCAGCAGCCGCGGUAAUACGGAGGAUCCGAGCGUUAUCCGGAUUUAUUGGGUUUAAAGGGAGCGUAGAUGGAUGUUUAAGUCAGUUGUGAAAGUUUGCGGCUCAACCGUAAAAUUGCAGUUGAUACUGGAUAUCUUGAGUGCAGUUGAGGCAGGCGGAAUUCGUGGUGUAGCGGUGAAAUGCUUAGAUAUCACGAAGAACUCCGAUUGCGAAGGCAGCCUGCUAAGCUGCAACUGACAUUGAGGCUCGAAAGUGUGGGUAUCAAACAGGAUUAGAUACCCUGGUAGUCCACACGGUAAACGAUGAAUACUCGCUGUUUGCGAUAUACUGCAAGCGGCCAAGCGAAAGCGUUAAGUAUUCCACCUGGGGAGUACGCCGGCAACGGUGAAACUCAAAGGAAUUGACGGGGGCCCGCACAAGCGGAGGAACAUGUGGUUUAAUUCGAUGAUACGCGAGGAACCUUACCCGGGCUUAAAUUGCAGAUGAAUUACGGUGAAAGCCGUAAGCCGCAAGGCAUCUGUGAAGGUGCUGCAUGGUUGUCGUCAGCUCGUGCCGUGAGGUGUCGGCUUAAGUGCCAUAACGAGCGCAACCCUUGUUGUCAGUUACUAACAGGUUCCGCUGAGGACUCUGACAAGACUGCCAUCGUAAGAUGUGAGGAAGGUGGGGAUGACGUCAAAUCAGCACGGCCCUUACGUCCGGGGCUACACACGUGUUACAAUGGGGGGUACAGAGGGCCGCUACCACGCGAGUGGAUGCCAAUCCCCAAAACCUCUCUCAGUUCGGACUGGAGUCUGCAACCCGACUCCACGAAGCUGGAUUCGCUAGUAAUCGCGCAUCAGCCACGGCGCGGUGAAUACGUUCCCGGGCCUCGUACACACCGCUCGUCAAGCCAUGGGAGCCGGGGGUACCUGAAGUGCGUAACCGCGAGGAGCGCCCUAGGGUAAAACUGGUGACUGGGGCUAA
rnacentral:rRNA from 1 species